rnacentral:lncRNA from 1 species
GUUGGGAGUCUGAGAAGUCACCACCAUGAAGUUGUUCGGCUUCAGGAGCCGCAGGGGCCAGACGGUCCUGGGCUCCAUAGACCACCUCUACACGGGUUCCGGGUACCGAAUCCGGUACUCGGAACUGCAGAAGAUCCACAAGGCAGCUGUCAAGGGCGACGCUGCGGAGAUGGAGCGCUGUCUGGCGCGCAGGAGCGGAGACCUUGACGCCCUGGACAAGCAGCACAGAACUGCUCUACAUUUGGCCUGUGCCAGUGGCCAUGUGAAAGUGGUCACUCUCCUGGUUAACAGAAAAUGCCAGAUUGAUAUCUAUGACAAAGAAAAUAGAACGCCUUUGAUACAGGCUGUCCAUUGCCAGGAAGAGGCUUGUGCCGUUAUUCUGCUGGAACAUGGUGCCAAUCCAAACCUUAAGGAUAUCUACGGCAACACUGCUCUCCAUUAUGCUGUGUAUAGUGAGAGCACCUCACUGGCAGAAAAACUGCUUUUCCAUGGUGAAAAUAUUGAAGCACUGGACAAGCAGUGUGUCCCCGAGAAAGUGUCAGAGCCUUUACGUGGACCUUCCCAUGGAAAAGGAAACAGAAU